UACGUAGGGGGCAAGCGUUGUCCGGAUUUAUUGGGCGUAAAGCGUCCGCAGGUGGCUGUGUAAGUCUGCUGUCAAAGAGCAAAGCUCAACUUUGUAAAGGCAGUGGAAACUACACGGCUAGAGUGCGUUCGGGGCAGAGGGAAUUCCUGGUGUAGCGGUGAAAUGCGUAGAGAUCAGGAAGAACACCGGUGGCGAAGGCGCUCUGCUAGGCCGCAACUGACACUGAGGGACGAAAGCUAGGGGAGCGAAUGGG
rnacentral:rRNA from 1 species